ncrna:unclassified sequences RT-2 RNA
ACGGGUCAAAUGCAGUAGGAAACGAACCGGACCCUUUGUGAAAGGAGAGAUACUUCCCGGGCGAUAAGCCCGAAACCGCCCUUUGUGGCCCCUUCACGGACGCUGCUUGCAUGGCGGGGUAUUGUGCUACCCCCGUUUCAUGUGAAGGGUCUACGCGGUUUAGCCGCACACCUACACCACAACCGCACGGAGGCGCGAAUACUUAUUAUGACCAGC